UUACUACUCCCUCCGUCCCAAAAUUCUUGUCUUAAAUUUGUCCAAAUACGGAUGUAUCAAGUCACGUUUUAGUAUUAGGUACAUCCGUAUCUAAACAAAUCUAAGACAAGAAUUUUGGGACGGAGGGAGUACUUA
rnacentral:pre_miRNA from 1 species